rnacentral:rRNA from 1 species
GAUGAACGCUGGCGGCGUGCCUAAUACAUGCAAGUCGAGCGAACAGACGAGGAACUUGCUCCUCUGACGUUAGCGGCGGACGGGUGAGUAACACGUGGAUAACCUACCUAUAAGACUGGGAUAACUUCGGGAAACCGGCGCUAAUACCGGAUAAUAUAUUGAACCGCAUGGUUCAAUAGUGAAAGACGGUUUUGCUGUCACUUAUAGAUGGAUCCGCGCCGCAUUAGCUAGUUGGUAAGGUAACGGCUUACCAAGGCAACGAUGCGUAGCCGACCUGAGAGGGAGAUAGGCCACACUGGAACGGAGACACGGUCCAGACACCUAAGGGAGGCAGCAGUAGGGAAUCGUCCGCAAGGGGCGAAAGCCUGACGGAGCAACGCCGAGUGAGUGAUGAAGGUCUUCGGAUCGUAGAACUCUGUUAUUAGGGAAGAACAAAUGUGUAAGUAACUAUGAACGUCUUGACGGUACCCAAUCAGAAAGCCACGGCUAAAUACGUG